CAGUAUAUCAGAUCAAUCAAGGCAUGCUGAGACACGAAUUCACAUUUCUACCACUAAGGAGAGUAUCAACAUCCUAGGUUGAAAAUGGACUAGAAGAUACUGAUAAUAAUAUUGGAUUUAUGCAAUGAUGGCAGUACAGCAGAUCAUUCAAUACAUGCCGAGACAUGAAUUCACAUUUCUACCACUAUGCUAAAUAUCAAUAUCCUACGUUGAAAAUGUACUAGACGAUACUGCUAAUAACAAGGGUUUUGUGCAACGUGCGUGUAAUGGAUGGCAGUACAGCAGAUCACUCAAUACAUGCUGAGACAUGAAUUCACAUUUCUACCACUAUGCAAAACAUCAACAUCCUACGUUGAAAAUGGACUAGACAGUACUGCUAAUAAUAAUGGUUUUGUGCA